GGGGAUGCUGGUCUUCGACAAGUUACCGCCUUCUUAGGCGCAGGCUGAGGUGGUGAAACUCAAUAAACGCACCGCUUACACAAGUGCAAAUCAACUUGUUAGCAAGGCAAAAUCAUUGUUUACAAUGCCAAGCUUUGCGCUCGUAACAGCUUAAUUUAAGCAGUUACCAUCGGUCCGUUUUUGCUCGCGGGACGGGCACCGGUGUCAUACAGCGAACUCGGUUCUAGACUUUGUCUUUUUAUAGAACCUAAAUACAAAAGACUCGAAUUUUCAUCUUUCUGUUUACUCUUACAGUUGAAAAUUUUAAACAAUUAGAGUAAACUAUGCCUGUAGAUGCCUAUUAACAAGUUUCUUGGACGCGGGUUCAACUCCCGCCAUCUCCACCA
rnacentral:tmRNA from 1 species